UUUUUUCUUUUUCUUUUUCUUUUAAACGGUCAGCGUUUCUGUCUCCUGUGUUUUGUCUUCCAGCUGUGGAGCACUUUAGGUUUGUGUUCACGUGGCGUUGUUCCCUGAACCACCCGCUUUGUGGCUCCUCUGUCCUGCCCGCCUUGAUCGCGUCUUCCCCGCCCCGUGGGUUUUAUCCUGAGGACGGUUCUCCGCUGUGUGGAGUGGAGGAUCAGUGGACACUGGCUUUACCGACUCAUUUUCUAUGUAGCUCCCAGUUUCUCAAAAUCAUAAUUGUCUUGGAUUCCCUGUGAAACUGGGAGUCAGGCCUUGGGCACAGUGCUGGGUGGCCUUGGGUGCAGUACUGGGGCAGGAGGGAGAGAUGAGAAUAGGAAGGAUGGGUUUGUCAGGGAAGGAACCCUUGCCGCAUUCCUGUGUCUGUUUUAGGUUAAAGAUGAAUGGCCGGGUGGUGGAUGUCUCCCCUGCUGUGGCUGGACCUCGCUGUGCUGAACCCUGAGCAGGGGCCCCAGCAGCUGCCUCCUGCCAGGCCGGGGCCACAGGGCUGGGCUGCUGCCUCUAGGGUGGGUUGUGAGGGCUCGUGCCAAGUUGCAAGGGUCUGCACCGCUCCUGUGUGACCUGAGGGGCAUGGGGGAAGCUGGUCUGUGCUCCUUACCUGGGAGAAGUUGAGCUCACCUGGGCCAGAGCCUCUGGGGAGGUAUUAAGGCAGAGGCCUGGAAUUCCUGCUUUCCCCAGACAGCAAGAAAGCUCAGUGUUGCACCUGCUCUGAGAUGCCCUCAGCAGCCAUAUAUAGUUGACUUGAACAUGAGGGAAGGUGCCAAUUAACCCGGCUCUGUGGAGAGCUUUGAGGAGUCCAGGCCCUGGGCCCCGGGCUUUUUAAUAUGUUCCUUCCUGAACAAAAAAGAACAAAAGAUCCCUGUGGCUGAUGCCGACUGCGUGGGGUAGGACAUGCCGAGCUUGCAUGGGGCUUGCCCCUGAGUUUCCUUGGUGCUCCUCCCAGCCCCCACGGACACCAGCCUUUCCAGGCCGAGGCUUGUCCUGUUUAGACCCUUGUUGGUGGGGUCUGUGGUCCUGGAUCGAGGGCCCAAGCACUUCUUUCAUGAUUAUAAAUGAUUCACCAGAGACGCACGGCUGCCCCCAAACAUCUCACGAGCAUGAGAUACAGCCAGUGUCGCCGCCGCAAGCUCAUAAUUCUAGUGGAAAGAGGAAAUUUUACUUUUAAUGUGCUCGUGUGACUCAGAUGCAAAUAUUUAAUUCCCGUUCAACUUUCAAGACCUUGAGAACCUCUGAGAUUCCUUGAAAGCUGUUCCUUUGCCCCACGACUAACUCUCCUGUGGAAGGAGGC
rnacentral:lncRNA from 1 species